rnacentral:rRNA from 1 species
UACGGGGGGGGCAGGCGUUGUUCGGAAUUACUGGGCGUAAAGGGCUCGUAGGCGGCCAACUAAGUCAUACGUGAAAUCCCUCGGCUUAACCGGGGAACUGCGUCUGAUACUGGAUGGCUUGAGUUCGGGAGAGGGAUGCGGAAUUCCAGGUGUAGCGGUGAAAUGCGUAGAUAUCUGGAGGAACACCGGUGGCGAAGGCGGCAUCCUGGACCGAUACUGACGCUGAGGAGCGAAAGCGUGGGGAGCAAACAGG